rnacentral:rRNA from 1 species
CGUCUAUAUACGUAUAGCAUAUCAAUAAGCGGAGGAAAAGAAACUAACUAGGAUUCCCUCAGUAACGGCGAGUGAAGCGGGAAGAGCUCAAAUUUGAAAUCUUCAAGGUUCUACCUUGACGAAUUGUAGUUUAAAGAAGUGUUUUCUGUUGGAGUUUUGGUAAAAGUUCUUUGGAAUAGGACAUCAUAGAGGGUGAGAAUCCCGUAUUUGACCAUUAUUUCCAACUUUGUGAUACACUUUCAAAGAGUCGGAUUGUUUGGGAAUGCAGUCCAAAAUGGGUGGUAAAUUUCAUCUAAAGCUAAAUACUGGCGAGAGACCGAUAGCGAACAAGUACCGUGAGGGAAAGAUGAAAAGAACUUUGAAAAGAGAGUUAAACAGUACGUGAAAUUGUCAAAAGGGAAGCGUUUGACAUCAGUGUUGUUUUUUCCGAAAAUCAAUUAACUAAUGAUUUUAAUUUUAGAGUAGUUAUGACUUCAUCGGCUUGCUUCUUUCCUUACGAAACUUUCUUAAUGCACUUUUCGGUUAACAAGUCAACAUCAAUUUCUUUUGUUGUAAAAGGGUAUGAGGAAGGUGGCUUUCUUUUCGGAGAAAGUGUUUAUAGCCUUUGAUCUCUGCAACCGGAGAGACUGAGGUCUGCAGCGUAGACUCUUCGGGGUUAGAUACAUUUGUGCUAAGCUAUAGCUUUUUAUAGACAACUUGUUGACUAUAUUUAGUCUUGUGGCUUACUCGCUUAUGCUAUUUUACCUACGCUUAGGAUGUUGACGAGACUGUCGAUCUC